AGCCGGUGCAACACGUCUACGCUUACCUGCCGAGGUUCCAACCCCCAUCUGCCUCCUCCGCCCAGCUCCAGAACGCUGUCGCCAGGGUGGAGGAGAGGUUGGCGCAGACGCGGGCUGCGGAGGCCGAGACCCAAGUGAUUGAUCCACUCCCACUGAAGCGGCGGCGCCGCCGAGGAGGUCCAGGUCGCAGCAGCAGGCAGCUGCCCAGGAACCUGCCCAGGCCUCCUUGAAUGAACAACGAGGGCGCAGGCGCAGGCGACGUCGGGGCGCACAAACCCAAGGAGGGCGUGGCGGCGGGCGUGGCCAGGGAGCUCGCGGCGGUCGUGGCCAGGAAGGUCAUCGUGGGUAGGGAGGACAUGGCCCCUGGAGGGGACCCCCGCGCGGGCCCUGGAGGGGAAAUCCAGCUGGAUUUUGGAGGGGACCCCCCGGGGUUUCUGGAGGGCGCCACAACGCUUUUGAAGCGGGGGGCUGCAAAGUGGCGCGAAGGCACUUGUCCAUGGACCGAUUGCUGCUCAGUCAUCAUGCAUCAAGCAGAGGAAGAGGAGGGUCUUAAUGACCCCAUAGAUGCCAUUUCUUCUCACAAAGGUCAACGACCACAUACUAAUAUCUAUGUGCUUGAUGGUUUUUAUUACUACAAAAACAGAGACAGAAAUGCAAGUGCAAGCACGACAGAAGUACUCAAAAGCAGGCCGCCUGCCCAGGCAAAAUGAAGUCAAAUGUUGAUGUCAAAUCUGAGACUGACAGAUGGCCACAACCACCCGGUAGAAUCCAACGGCAUUGAAAUACAGGAGCUGAGAAGCAGGCUCAUUGAUUUAUGCACGAAGCAACAUAAUGUGUCCAUGAACUGCCUCAUUACCAACUUUUGCAGAGGGUAAGUAAAUGACUUUUGAGAGCUGUUUAGGUUGUACUAGGGCUACGUAACGUAUC